rnacentral:rRNA from 1 species
AUUGAACGCUGGCGGCAUGCCUUACACAUGCAAGUCGAACGGCAGCACGGGUGCUUGCACCUGGUGGCGAGUGGCGAACGGGUGAGUAAUACAUCGGAACAUGUCCUGUAGUGGGGGAUAGCCCGGCGAAAGCCGGAUUAAUACCGCAUACGAUCUACGGAUGAAAGCGGGGGACCUUCGGGCCUCGCGCUAUAGGGUUGGCCGAUGGCUGAUUAGCUAGUUGGUGGGGUAAAGGCCUACCAAGGCGACGAUCAGUAGCUGGUCUGAGAGGACGACCAGCCACACUGGGACUGAGACACGGCCCAGAAUCCUAAGGGAGGCAGCAGUGGGGAAUUUUGGAAAAUGGGCGAAAGCCUGAUCCAGCAAAGCCGCGUGUGGGAAGAAGGCCUUCGGGUUGGAAAGCACUUUUGUCCGGAAAGAAAUCCUUGGGUCUAAAACAGGCGGGGGAUGACGGUACCGGAAGAAUAAGCACCGGCUAACUACGUG